GAUGAACGCUGGCGGCGUGCCUAAUACAUGCAAGUCGAGCGAACAGACGAGGAGCUUGCCCCUCUGACGUUGGCGGCGGACGGGUGAGUAACACGUGGAUAACCUACCUAUAAGACUGGGAUAACUUCGGGAAACCGGAGCUAAUACCGGAUAAUAUAUUGAACCGCAUGGUUCAAUAGUGAAAGACGGUUCUGCUGUCAUUUAUAGAUGGAUCCAGGCCGCAUUAGCUAGUUGGUAAGGUAACGGCUUUCCAAGGCAACGAUGCGUAGCCGACCUGAAAGGUUGAUCGGCCACACUGGAACUGAGACACGGUCCGGACUCCUACGGGAGGCAGCAGUAGGGAAUCUUCGGCAAUGGGCGAAAGCUUGACGAGGCAACACCGCGUGAGUGAUAAAGGUCUUCGGAUCGUAAAACUCUGUUAUUAGGGAAGAACAAAUGUGUAAGUAACUAUGCACGUCUUGACGGUACCUAAGCAGAGAGCAACGGCUAACUACGUG
rnacentral:rRNA from 1 species